rnacentral:rRNA from 1 species
CGCAUCUGUGCAUGCAGCAUAUCAAUAACGGAGGAAAAGAAACUAACAAGGAUUCCCUUAGUAACGGCGAGUGAAGCGGGAAGAGCUCAAAUUUGAAAUCUUCAAGGUUUUACCUUGACGAAUUGUAGUUUAAAGAAGUGUUUUCUGCUGAAGUUUUGGUAAAAGUUCUUUGGAAUAGGACAUCAUAGAGGGUGAGAAUCCCGUAUUUGACCAUUAUUUUCAGCUUUGUGAUACACUUUCAAAGAGUCGGAUUGUUUGGGAAUGCAGUCCAAAAUGGGUGGUAAAUUUCAUCUAAAGCUAAAUAUUGGCGAGAGACCGAUAGCGAACAAGUACCGUGAGGGAAAGAUGAAAAGAACUUUGAAAAGAGAGUUAAACAGUACGUGAAAUUGUCAAAAGGGAAGCGUUUGACACCAGUGUUGUUUUCUCGAAAAUCAAUUAAAAAUGGCUCGAUUUUGUAUUGCUGAGACCUUAAAAGCUCACUGUACAUUUUUCGUGUCUUUUUUAAUGCACUUUUCGUUUAACAAGUCAACAUCAGUUUCUUUUGUUGUAAAGGGGUCAUUGGAAGGUGGCUUUCUUUUCGGAGAAAGUGUUUAUAGCCUCUUGGCCUAUGCAAUCGGAGAGAUUGAGGUCUGCAGCGUAGAUCCUUCGGGGCUAGAUACAUUUGUGCUAAGUUAUAGCUUUUUAUAGACAACUUGUUGACUAUGAUUAGUCUUGUAGCUUACUCGCUUAUGCUAUUUUACCUACGCUUAGGAUGUUGAUAGUCACAGCGUGUAC